UACAGAGGGGGCAAGCGUUAUUCGGAAUUAUUGGGCGUAAAGGGCGCGUAGGCGGCCAUUCAGGUGACGGGUGAAAGCCCUCGGCUUAACCGAGGAACUGCCUGUCAGACUGGAUGGCUUGAGACCGGGAGAGGUGAGUGGAAUUCCCAGUGUAGCGGUGAAAUGCGUAGAUAUUGGGAGGAACACCAGUGGCGAAGGCGGCUCACUGGACCGGAACUGACGCUGAGGCGCGAAAGCGUGGGGAGCAAACAGG
rnacentral:rRNA from 1 species